GACGAACGCUGGCGGCGUGCUUAACACAUGCAAGUCGAACGGAAAGGCCCUGCUUUUGUGGGGUGCUCGAGUGGCGAACGGGUGAGUAACCCGUGAGUCUCCUGCCCUUGACUUUGGGAUAACUUCAGGAAACUGCUGCUAAUACCGGCUAGGAGCUCCUGCUGCAUGGUGGGCGUUGGACAGUUUCGGCGGUUGGGGAUGGACGCGCGGCUUAUCAGCUUGUUGGUGGGGUAGUGGCUUACCAAGGCUUUGACGGGUAGCCGGCCUGAGAGGGUGACCGGCCACAUGGGGACUGAGAUACGGCGCAGUGUCCUACGUGAGGCAGCAGUGGGGAAUAUUGCACAAUGGGCGGAAGCCUGAGGCGGCAACGCCGCGUGCGGGAUGACGGCCUUCGGGUUGUAAACCGCUGUCGCCUGUGACGAAGCGUGAGUGACGGUAAUGGGUAAAGAAGCACCGGCUAACUACGUG
rnacentral:rRNA from 1 species